AAGGAUUUAGGAAUAAUUUAGACCAAGGACCUUCAAAGCCCUAAGCAGGAGUUAAAAUCUCCUAAUCCUUG
rnacentral:tRNA from 1 species